AUGAUUUUAGAGUGUUACAGAGAGAUAGUAUUGGGCUUCGAACAGAUGUGUUCAGGGCUGCACGAGGACGUUCAUUCAAUCAGGUCCAAGCAAGGGGAAAUCUCCUUGCAACUGGGCAGUGUGGAGAAAGCAGUACUAGAAUUGGGCAAGCAACUGUCUGCUAUGAACAUGGCGUUAAAAUCAAUUAUCGCACCAUCAAGUUCUGCAAAUCAAGGAAAAAGGCAGUCUGAACCUGAGACAUUGCUGAAAUCUCCAACACUUCAACAAGAUGAAGUACCUAGGCUGCAUAUCAGAACAGAUCAGCUCAGACAGCAACUAGAAGCAGAAAAGGAGAGAACUAGACAGCUGGAAGAGUUACAGAUGCAGAAUUUAGCACCCAUCAAAACUAGCAGAACUGUUGUUCCACCUGGUUUUAAUAAUCAGGUGCAUCAAGAUACUGCAAGUAUGUUGGGUACUCCUGUAGCACAUGGAAGGGGGGUGCAACACCUUAAUUCCAGCAACCAGCAAGAGACAGACAACUUUGGCAAGGUUACUUCAGAACUUAUGAGCAAGAUAUGCAGAUACAAUUUAUGA
rnacentral:rRNA from 1 species